rnacentral:lncRNA from 1 species
CUCCACAUGAGCUGUGAAAGCUGCACUGCAAGGGAUGUGUGUGUUGGUCAUAUUUGUUUGUGUGUGUGUGUUACCACUUAAUACAGAAGCACCAUGCAUACUGAGAGAAAACAGCCUCUCUCUUAUGAAUGCAUCCCUGUACUUUAAAUACUUUAAAAGGCGUGCAAGGGGGCUUUCUACUUCUGCUUCCAGCUAUGAAGAAAUGACUGCUGCAAGACGAGAUCCUCCUGUAACAACCAGGAAAAUGGAAAAAAAAUUAUAAGGAGUGAUUGUUUUCAGACUUUGGACAAAGACAGUACCAUGCUGUCAUCACUUGAUGGACGGUAUUUAUUGCAGAAAAAGGAGGCUAAUGAGACACCGUCUGGCUCUCUCACUGAAGCUGGAGUGGCGCGAUCUUGGCUCACUGCAACCUCCGCCUCCUGGGUUCAAGCAAUUUUUCUGCCUCAGCCUACAGAGUAGCUGGGACUACAGGAGGCUGAAGAAGCUGAAGGCGAUGUCUGUACAGCUACUUAUUUAUUUGAUGCUUACUUAAUUUGUACUUAUUUUACAUGGGGUAGCAAAAAUUAUGCUGCAAUGCCAUUGUGAGUGCCCCAUUCACACAGGUAGUGUCUAUAGAAAAACGCUAAGGAUAAAAUCAGUGAAUCAAAGUUGUUGGCAUAUAUGCAUUUCUAGAUAUUGUCAAAUUACUUCCCAAUGGAUUCUUCUGACAUCCUUUAUGGACAAUAUAUGAAACAAUCUGUUUUUCUCUGCCUAUGUUAGAUAUCUCUAUUUAUCAAUCUAUUGAUCUAUCAACCUAUUGAGCUACUCAUCUAUCUGUCUGUCUAUCUAUCUAUCUAUCUAUCUAUCUAUCUAUCUAUCUAUCUGCCUAUAUGUCUGUCUGUCAUCAUCUUUAUCACUCAAAUAGGUGAAAAAUUGUGUCUCUAUUGGCUUUUCAUUUUUAUUUCUAUUAUUAAAAGAGAAUUUGGACAUCUUUUCAUAUGUUUAAAAAACAAUGAGUUUUCCUUUCUAUAAAAUAUGUAUAGUGUAACAUAGUUUUUUAUAUACACACACAAUCUGAGUAUCAACUAGUUUUUAGGACUUCAAUAUAUGUUACAAUAGAUCAACAGCUACAAUUCUUGAUAUAAUAAAAGUUACAUUUUUUUUCCUAAUUUGUAAUUGAUCUUUGAACUCAUUUGGUGUCUUUUUUUUUUUGGUUGCAAAGGUGUGUGUGUGUGUGUGUGUGUAUGCAUGUGUGUGAUCUAGCUUUUCACUUAUUUCUUCUCAACUGUGACAUAGUUUUAGGGAGACAUUUCCUACUUUGAGAUUCCAUCACAUUUUAUGCUAGUUCUUUUAUGAUUUUUAUUGAUUUAUGUUAUACUUUCUUGUUCAAAUCAAAAUUACUGUGGUUUAAGUUAUAAAGUAAUGAUUCAAAUGAUUACUUUCCAGUUGGCUAUCCAGCAAUAUUUAUGGAUCAUUCCCAGGGAUGAAAGCACCUGUCAUCAAUCCUAUGCACUAACAUGGACGGGUCUCCACUGGACUCUGAGCUGCGCCCCAGCCAUGACCUUCCUCUCUGUAAGGUGACACUGCGGAGGGUGCCUCAGAGCAGCAUCACUGCUUUGGACACAGCUUGUGCGCCCCAGGAUGGGGUCUACCCAACCUCUCUCUUGGAUCUUGAUUUCCUUCCAGAUUGAGAGCACAGUGGCCACAGCAGUCCCAGCAUUUCUUAAAUCCCGGACUGUCUUGCUUUUUUCAAGGCGAGAUCUGGGGCCCUGCUUAGUCCUUAUUCCCAUUUCCCAGGGCUUUACCGCAGGUCCCUUGAGUUUGGUGCCAUGAGGAUUCCAGGGCCGAUUUCCAACCUGGCAGCAUCUGAAGGGGCUCUGGACCCUUCUGUCAUAUGACCUGAGGCGGAUUUCAGGCAACAGUGGAGUCUGAGAGGGUUGACUCUCUCUAAGACAAGGCAGAACUGGGCACACCCACGGUUAAUCCAAGACAGUGUGGCCCUGUACCUCCUGGGCCCUCCCAAUUACAGCUAAAACAUUGCAGCAUCUCAGAAGCAUGGGGAGUCCCUGAAAGGAAGAAAGAAGGAGGUGGGCACCCUGGAGGCCUCUGCUCAGCACCUUCCAUGAUCAAUCUCUCAGCAUCAGUAUAGUGUGAUGUCCCCAGCACACAUGUGGCAUAGAAGGAAGAUGGUGGGUGCCUCCGCUCAGCACCCUCCAUGAUCAAGCUGUGAGCAUCAGUAUAGUGUGAUGUCCCCAGCACACAUGUGGCACAGAAGGAAGAUGGUGGGUGCCCUGGAGGCUUCUGCUCAGCACCUUCCAUGAUCAAGCUCUCAGCAUCAGUAUAGUGUGAUGUCCCAGCACACAUGUGGCACAGAAGGACACAUGGCAGCCCCACAGCCAGAUCACACUCAAUAGUGAAGGGCUGAGAGCUUUCCCUCUAACAUCGAGAGCAAGGGUAGGCUGCCCUCCACCAAACACACACUUCUAUUCAGCAUCAAAGUGGAAGAGCUGGCCAGAGCAAUCAGGCAAGAAAAGGAAAUAAAAGGCAUCCAAAGACAAAAAGAAGUAGUUAAAUUGUCUGUUUUCUGAUGACAUGAUCUAAUGUAUAGAAAACCCGAAAGACUCCACCAAAAAACUAUUAGAACCGACAAAUAUCUUAUAACAUUUGUUUCUCUUUAGUAAUAGUAUUUAAAUUUCAUAAUUUUCAUAUUAAACUUUUAAUAACAUUUCUGUAUAUUCUAUUGGACUUUUAAUACAGAAUUAUAUGCACUGGAUAAUGAGGGUGUUAUUCCUUUUUGCAAAAGCUGAUAGAUUUCAUUAUUUUUUUCUUCCUUUAUUAAAUGGGUUAGCACUUCAGCAAUGUACAGAAUAAAUGUGAGCAGAGAAGGCAUCCUCAUCUUGAUUGAGUGAGAAAGAUUUCAACAUUUCUCCAACAAAUAUCAUGAUUCCAUUAUUUUGUAUAUACCCUUUCCUUAAGAUGAAGGGUAUUUAAUUAGAUUUUUAGAAUGCUAUUUUAAAAUUAAUUAUGAAUGACUUUUUAACUAUAUCAAUUUCAUUGUUUAAGGAUAUUUGAAUUUAUAUUCAUGAAUGAGUUUGGUCUGUAUUUUAUUAUUAUCACUUCUCUGUCAAGAUCUGGCAUCAGUUUUUUUUUCUGGCAUGUUAAAUUGGUUAGAGUGUAUUUAAUAAUUCUCUGUUGUCUGAAAAAUUUUGUAAAAAAUUGGUAUUAUUCCUUCAUUAAAUAUUUGGUAAAAUUCACUAAUAUAGUUUCUAUGGUCUGCAGUUUUCAUAAUAGUUUCAUUUUAUUUACAAAUU